rnacentral:rRNA from 1 species
UACGUAGGGGCUAGCGUUAUCCGGAUUUACUGGGCGUAAAGGGUGCGUAGGCGGUCUUUCAAGUCAGGAGUGAAAGGCUACGGCUCAACCGUAGUAAGCUCUUGAAACUGUAAGACUUGAGUGCAGGAGAGGAGAGUGGAAUUCCUAGUGUAGCGGUGAAAUGCGUAGAUAUUAGGAGGAACACCAGUUGCGAAGGCGGCUCUCAGGACUGUAACUGACGCUGAGGCACGAAAGCGUGGGGAGCAAACAGGAUUAGAUACCCUGGUAGU